rnacentral:rRNA from 1 species
AUGCAUUGGUUUGCAUGGUGGAAAUUGUGUGUACCGAAGAAGAAAGGGGGCUUGGGAUUUAGAGACCUUCACGGUUUUAACCUUGCUAUGUUAGCAAAACAGUGUUGGCGACUAAUCCAGAAUCCGGACUCUCUAUGUGCAUGUGUUUUGAGCGCAAAGUAUUAUCCCGAUGGAAACAUCUUGCAAGCUGGACCAAAGAAUGGGUCGUCAUUUACUUGGCAGAGCAUAAUUGCAGGUAUUCAAACUUUCCAGAGGGGGUGCAUUUGGCGUGUAGGUACAAGAGCACAAAUUGAUAUAUGGCGGGAUCCUUGGAUCCCUUCGAAUCCUUCAAGGAAGGUAAUCACCCCUAGAGGUGCAACGAUGCUCAGAUUUGUGGAAGAGCUUAUUGAUCCACACAUUGGACAGUGGGAUGAAGUGCUAAUCAGAGAUGUAUUCUCUCCUGUUGAUGCUCAUAGGAUCCUUCAAAUACCUUUGAAUGUGCAGAUUAUGGAGGAUUUUAUUGCUUGGAACUACACGCGAUCGGGAACCUUUUCGGUAAGAUUGGCAUAUCACAGGGAGUUCGAGCACCAAUAUGGGCGGCGUCUUAGAAGAACAGAUGGACAAGGAAAUAUACAAAUGAAUACCAUAUGGAAGGAAGUGUGGAAUCUAAAACUCCCAGGAAAAACUAAGCACUUUAUUUGGAAGGCGUUGAAUGGCUCAUUGCCUUGUUUUGGAGUACUAGCUAAUAGGCAUAUUCCGGUAGUGCCCCAAUGUCCUUUUUGUUCCAUUGGGCUGGAAGAUAUCCACCAUUGUUUGUUUAUGUGCAAACGGGCGAAGGAAGUCUGGACUGAAUUGGGUUUGCUGGAAAUCAUCUCGGAUGCGGUUGGGCAGGAUCGCUCAGGUUCAAUUACAGUCGAGGUUUUUAGCCGGAUUAAAACGGCCAGGGAGGAUCUACCCACUGCAGAAUUUAUUAUGGUGGCUGCUUGGUACUUGUGGUGGCAGCGCCGCCAACACGUGAAGGGCGAAGCGAUCCAAACUGCGGACGGAGCUGCUACAUCGAUCAGAGUUUUAGCGACAAAUUUCAUUUGA